GAUGAACGCUGGCGGCGUGCCUAAUACAUGCAAGUCGAGCGAACAGACGAGGAGCUUGCUCCUCUGACGUUAGCGGCGGACGGGUGAGUAACACGUGGAUAACCUACCUAUAAGACUGGGAUAACUUCGGGAAACCGGAGCUAAUACCGGAUAAUAUAUUGAACCGCAUGGUUCAAUAGUGAAAGACGGUUUUGCUGUCACUUAUAGAUGGAUCCGCGCCGCAUUAGCUAGUUGGUAAGGUAACGGCUUACCAAGGCAACGAUGCGUAGCCGACGUGAGAGGGUGAUCGGCCACACGGGAACUGAGACACGGUCCAGACUCCUACGGGAGGCAGCAGUAGGGAAUGGGCCGCAAUGGGCGAAAGCCUGACGGAGCAACGCGGCGUGAGUGAUGAAGAUCUUCGGAUCGUAAAACUCUGUUAUUAGGGAAGAACAAAUGUGUAAGUAACUAUGCACGUCGUGACGGUACCUAAUCAGAAAGCCACGGCUAACUACGUG
rnacentral:rRNA from 1 species